rnacentral:pre_miRNA from 1 species
CAUAACGUUUCCUCAGAUUGUUUGGCUUAUUCUCUUCUAGAAACGUUAUGGCUGCAUGAGAAGAGAAUAAGCCAAACAAUCUGAGAGAAACGUUAUGGCU